UACGUAGGGGGCUAGCGUUGUCCGGAAUCAUUGGGCGUAAAGCGCGUGUAGGCGGUCCGGUAAGUCCGCUGUGAAAGUCGGGGGCUCAACCCUCGGAUGCCGGUGGAUACUGUCGGGCUUGAGUACGGAAGAGGCGAGUGGAAUUCCUGGUGUAGCGGUGAAAUGCGCAGAUAUCAGGAGGAACACCAAUUGCGAAGGCAGCUCGCUGGGACGUUACUGACACUGAGAAGCGAAAGCGUGGGGAGCGAACAGG
rnacentral:rRNA from 1 species